GACGAACGCUGGCGGCGUGCUUAACACAUGCAAGUCGAACGGAAAGGCCCUGCUUUUGUGGGGUGCUCGAGUGGCGAACGGGUGAGUAACACGUGAGUAACCUGCCCUUGACUUUGGGAUAACUUCAGGAAACUGGGGCUAAUACCGGAUAGGAGCUCCUGCUGCAUGGUGGGGGUUGGAAAGUUUCGGCGGUUGGGGAUGGACUCGCGGCUUAUCAGCUUGUUGGUGGGGUAGUGGCUUACCAAGGCUUUGACGGGUAGCCGGCCUGAGAGGGUGACCGGCCACAUUGGGACUGAGAUACGGCCCAGACUCCUACGGGAGGCAGCAGUAGGGAAUAUUGCACAAUGGGCGGAAGCCUGAUGCAGCAACGCCGCGUGCGGGAUGACGGCCUUCGGGUUGUAAGCCGCUUUCGCCUGUGACGAAGCGUGAGUGACGGUAAUGGGUAAUGAAGCACCGGCUAACUACGUG
rnacentral:rRNA from 1 species